rnacentral:tRNA from 1 species
GCCCAGGUGGUGAAAUUGGUAGACACGCUGGAUUUAGGAUCCAGUGCUUCACGGCAUGUAGGUUCAAGUCCUAUCCUGGGCA